UUACGGUCAUAUCAUGUUAAAACACCGGGUUUCGUACGAUCACCGAAGUUAAGCAACGCCGAGCCUUGUCAGAUGUGUGACCGCUUGGAAAUACCAGGUACUGUAAG